CAGACUUGGUGUGGAGUGCGUUACACGUUCUCGAUUUGCGCGUAGGUAGGAAGGUGGUGCUGGAUUUUGUACAAACUGCGCGGAAAUCUCGUAUAUUGCUUACUUGAAAAUGCAAAAUACGAUUCUCGCUGUUUUCGUGUGGGGGAAUAUUAAGGAAAUGAGUCAUUUAUACCGAGAAGGUGUUCCUGUGUUGUCAAGGAAGUUUCGAAAGCAUGUUUUUAAUGUUAUAUAAAGUUAGUUUUGUAAAGUUGGUUUUGGAUACUCUCAAUACAUUUAUCAAAUUAGCUUUACCGUAAUGAUCAAAUGUAGAAAAAUUUGUCAUGAGGUUUCAGUGAAAAAUCUUAUUUGAUUACACAGCAUUGAAUUAAGAGGGGAAAUUACACAAAACUUUGGGUUUAAUAAGAUGAUCGGUGUGUUAUUAUGUUGUAGUGAUAUAUAAAUAUAUGUCUGUACCAGAAAAUCUGAGGAUUUUAUCCUUCAUAGAAAAUAAAAUAAUAAAGGACUUCAACGUAGAAAUCUACAUAAUCAAGAUGCUCUCAUCUGAUCACUGCAACAGAGGUGAUGGCAGGCAAGUUCAUCAUGCUUCUCCCUAAGGAUGAUGUGGUUUCUGACUAGAGUCGUGAAGAGGGAGGGUUCUAAUCUCGGUACUCGUCAAGUUGGCUGAGCAGCUUUAUUUUUAACAACAGAAUAGGUUCACUUUUGCAGUGACGCGAAGAUUUCAUCUAUUUGUGGAUAAUUGAUUAGCCAGAUUCAAGAUGAACAAGUUAAUGCAUGUGAAUGUCGUCAAUCAGUCCGAUAACGAAUGAGAACGGUCUCCGUAGGAGUUGACAAACCAUGCUCAUGUCCGCAUUAUCGUAAGUGAUUUAUCUCUUGGUCCUCCAUAAUAGAGAAAAAACGUUGUGAGUAGUGUAUGUUUAAGUAAUGGUUAUUUAAUGUGCCUUGAUCAAGUAAAGCAUACCCGGCAUAAAACUCCCAUUUUAUGUGGCGUUGAUGACCUGAAUUCUAAAUAGCUCAUAGAAUCUGUCUUGAUCUGUUAAAUGUUUUUGCAUACUUCUCUGCCAUCAGAUCAACAAAGUUCCGUCUCACCAGUUAUUCAUAAAAUCUCUUGCUAUCUAUUCCCGCUUUAAUUCCGAUUGAAAUUGUUGUCACUGAACUUGAGGGAUACAGUUUUCAGAGGGAACUUUAUAUCCUGAUCUUGUUUCCUACUGAUCCUUUUCCCCCCAAAAUAUCUUCAAAUUUAUAUCCCCUUUUCAUUUCAUCUGGAUUCAUAGCUUUCUCUCCUGAUGAAAAGGCAUUUCCUUCAGCUCGCUCUCACACCUGUACAAAUGGUCCUUAUCUCUGAAGCUGUCCAUCUCUUAAAUUUUAUUCGCUCUACUGUGUUAUAUGCAAGUUCCUAAUAAGAAUGAUCCAAAGAAAGUUGACGGUGCUGAUGGGUUGCCGGUAUGGAUUUUACAGAACAAGCUCUUCAUUUUAUGAAUGUCCUUUCAACUUCUCUGCUGUAUUAUCGAAAAUUUCUUAGUCUUUCGUUUUCAUACCUCAAAAACAUUUGGCAGAGUUGCAAAGAGCUGUGAUGUGGUCUUGCGGCUCCUUAGUAAACUGAUUUCUAGUUCUUUAUUAAACUGCAUUAUGUGUCUGAUAACUUUAAAAUCUGCCCCAUUUUCAUAAGUACUCAGUGAUCUUCGUUAGUUUUAUUCUCGAUUUUGAUGUUUACUUCACUUCCUCAAUUUUGCUUUUCAUGCUAGGAUUCCCUUCGCAUCAGCAAUUUAUCUAGAAUAUUAGUCAUAUAUGAGGAGUUGCUCUUGUUUUCUUUAUCAGUAGGAUUGAAUCCCAGGUAAUUAGUUAUAUAAAUGAUGGCACUGUUCUUUCUCUUCUCAUAACUGUCUCUACUUUACUUCAUUAUUUUUAUAGGUACUCUCAUUUUUAUAAGUACUAUUUUUAUCACUGUUGUGCCGACUUGAAAGAGAAAAAGCCCCAGCAUAUGUACCAGGUUUGCCAAAAGAUCGACCGUCUUCUGAAACGGUACAGCUAAAGAGGUGAAAGUUCAGUGUAGGAUAGGUAGGUGGUUCCUGGUAUUUCCAUCUCCAGUUCUAAGUAUUUCAGCUAUUUCAUUUUACUGGGAACUGCAUAAGGCUUUCCAUUUGUUGUAAUUCUUGAUACCUUGUUUCAUGGACUUUAAUGUGUGUGCUUUCAGCCUCUGUUAAGGCAGGGAUGAAUUUAGUUUCUAGUAACUGGGAUUUUAUCUGAUCUUCAGUUCCUAGGUUAGACCCAAUCAUCUCUGUUUGUUUUUAUUAUUUCUUGAUGCCGAGGCCAAACCUCCAUAAAUUCAGUUCCUUUGUGAGACCAUUAGCCUGAGAAUUUAUCCAAUAUUGUUAAGUCCUUUUGCCAUUUCCAAUGGAUUCUUUCAUCUGUACAUAUCCUGUGAUUACCUUCAUCCAUGUCUCCACAAUGUAUUCUUAGUUCUAUGUAUUGUGAACAUAUCA